CUUCUAUGGGCGUUGCUGUGGACUGACGUCUUUGUUUCUGUUUCCAGAGGAAAACAAUGUUAUUGCUAAAUUAAGGAAAAUGAAGUUUCUUAGAGGCAGCAGCCUCGAAUAUGAUCACAGUGAGAGCUAAGACUGCUCGCUCAGCUGUUCUCAGGAGCAAAACAAAGCCUUAUGUCAAAGGUGUCUUCAGUUCGGCACUUACUCUGAGCUUCCUUGAAUGAAUGUCUCGGGCGGAGAAUUAAAACCUGACACCAACGCGGAGUGUUUAGCAGUCUCAGCAGUUGAAAUGAAGUGCAAAGCCACUUGCAAGAACUUGGAAGUGUCAAUGGACUUUGUGUCCAGGAGUGGAGAUCAACAAGCCUAUGACCGGUUGCACUGGUGAAGAAAGUGAUACUAAAACUAGGAAGCUCCAGAGGAAAAGAGCAUCUGAAAUGUAGAGAUGCAGAGAUCUAAGAAAAACUUUCAAAUAUACCUUGUUUGGGUUCAGUUACCGUGGAACUGGAACAUGGUGAAGUUUCAAGCUGAUAACGUGUCCCCUUGAAAUCUACAGAAGCAGGGUUUUCCCCACUACGUAGGGUAACCAUGGCUGAAAUGUGUGGGGCCAGAUCCUUUUCUCAUUCAUGAUGACAAAAAUCCAGACCUGGUGUAUUUUCCUCCUCACAGUGAAGAGAAAGAGAUCACAACAACUCUACUACCUAUCUGCAGCAAAUCCGCAGUUCCUGCUGGAGAGUAUGCUUCUUCCAUUGUGCUGUUCAAAACCGUUACUGUUAAUUGUAUGAUGUCAUCUCUUCCUGUAUCCAUUCUGUGUAUGCUGACUCUAUGAGAAGUACCACUGACAGUGCACGUGCUGGAGCAUAUGCUGCAAGGACCUGCAGCAGAGAAAUCCUCACCUGCAUCUCUUAUCAUGCAGAGGCUGCUUCUGUGUAUGGAUGCUCUGUGUAGCUUGAAUGGCUUGUAAAGGGGAAUUACAACUUAACAGAGAUUACAACUUAACAGAAUUCCACCCUAUAAUGUACAAAGUACAAAAAUAAAGGCUCUUUUUUUUUCAGUUAAAUCCUCUACCAGAAUGGUGCCAAGAAGCAAAGUAAUCAAACGAUUUUUUUGUUGGUGGUGGUGUUUUUUAAAUCUUCUUAGCUAGAAGACAUGUCAGGAGAGCCAGGGGUGGAGAGCCGCAAAAAUGAAGUAGAGGAAUCAUGUGGAAUUUCUUCAAGUAGCGGUCUGGAUGUCUGUGCUUAUUUUAUUUACAAUGAAAUUCAGACUUCAGAAGCGCGCUUGGUUUUCUUCUUUUGUGAUGCUGACAAACUCUGCCUUGGCUUUGUUGUCUAAAGAGGUAGCAGCAAUUAAAAUGUGAUGUGACAGCGACUUCUAUAAACUGUUUUUUGAUGUAAGAAUCAUACCGUAAGAUUUUUUUGACAUGAUGGAAAUUAACAGGGGAAAGGAAAUCUUUCAGUGUUAGCCACAGCUUUCCAAAAGCUCAGCUGGAACUUCUUCCUGCUGGUCAACUCCACUCGCAAUGGAGUGUGGGACUCAAGGCCCAUCCAACGGGUGAAACUCUUCUAUAGAGAAGUUUGACGGUGUUGGUUUGAGUAAAAGGCCUCGGGCAUUCCUG
ensembl:lncRNA